rnacentral:sRNA from 1 species
AAUGAACUUACAUUGAAAACGAUUACAAAUAAAGGGAGUGGAUGUAGAUGGGUACAAUCAUUUGUCAAGACUGUCAGAAGGUAAUCGAGCAUUACGAUAAUGAGAAGGUGGCUACUCUUUACAGCACAUGUCCAACAUGCAAUAAACCGAAAGAACAAUAGGGGAUAAAAUAAAAAAGAACCAAGCGCCGGAAAAGGCGGCUUGGUUCUUUUUU